GCUUCAUUGUCGAGAGGGAAACAGCCCAGACCAUCAACUAAGGCCCCUAAGCGUGUGCUAAGUGGGAAAGGAUGUGGAGUUGCUGAGACAACCAGGAGGUUGGCUUAGAAGCAGCCAUCCUUGAAAGAGUGCGUAAUAGCUCACUGGUCAAGUGAUUCUGCGCCGAUAAUGUAGCGGGGCUCAAGUACACCGCCGAAGUUGUGGCAAUGAUCUUUUUGGAUUGUUGGGUAGGGGAGCGUCGUGUAGCCAGUGAAGCUGCGGUGUAAACCAGUGGUGGAGGCUAUGCGAGUGAGAAUGCAGGCAUGAGUAGCGAAAGAUGAGUGAGAAACUCAUCCGCCGGAUGAUCAAGGGUUCCAGGGUCAAGUUAAUCUGCCCUGGGUUAGUCGGGGCCUAAGGCGAGGCCGACAGGCGUAGUCGAUGGAUAACGGGUUGAUAUUCCCGUACCGGUGAAAAACCGCCCAUACUGAUAUUGUGAUGCUAACCAUGCGAAGCAUGAUGUGCAGGCUUUUGUUUGUGUGUUGUGUGGGUUGUGGGACCCGAUCUUUGGAGGUAAACGUAUUAACAGGUGUGACGCAGGAAGGUAGCCAAGCCACGCGAUGGUUGUCGUGGUCUAAGCGUGUAGGGUUGUCGGUUGUUAAAUGCGCCGGCUGUGUGCCUGAGACGUGAUGGGACCCCGUUUUUGGGGGAUUUGGUGAUCCUAUGCUGCCGAGAAAAGCAUCGGCGUGAGGUUUUAGCCGCCCGUACCCUAAACCGACACAGGUGAUCAGGUAGAGCAUACCAAGGCGAUCGGGAGAACUAUGGUUAAGGAACUCGGCAAAAUUGCCCCGUAACUUCGGGAGAAGGGGUGCCGGUUUCGGUGAAGGGAUUUACUCCCCGAGCUAAGAUCGGUCACAGUAAAUAGGUCCAAGCGACUGUUUAUCAAAAACACAGGACUCUGCUGAAGUCGUAAGACGACGUAUAGGGUCUGACGCCUGCCCGGUGCCGGAAGGUCACGAGGAGUUGUUAGCAUUAGCGAAGCAGCGAAUCUAAGCCCCGGUAAACGGCGGCCGUAACUAUAACGGUCCUAAGGUAGCGAAAUUCCUUGUCGGGUAAGUUCCGACCUGCACGAAAGGCGUAAC
rnacentral:rRNA from 1 species